CAGGGGCCGAGAUAUGGUUAGGUUAGGAUUAGAAAAAAUCCAAGAGCUGAAGCACAGUCCAGCUCUGGUAAUGCGCAGUCCUUCAAUACUCCUUCUGGCCGCUCUCCUGCCUUGGCCAAGGCCUGCCCCCACGGCCUAGGCCCACUACUUCACCACCAACAUAUUUGGUCUUUUUAACGUUGAACCACAGAUAGUGAGAUUUUUAAACGUAUGGACGAGUAUUGUUUUCAAUAAUAAGUGUUGUUUUUAUAUUAAGGUUUUUAUAGUAUUUAUUAAUAUUUAUGGGUAAUACUUCAUAUAAUUUAUUAGGGGUAAAAUGGGUAGGAUUAGGAUGGGUGGGGCUAAAAUGAUGUAAUUUAUUGGGUUAGGGUAUAUAGGGUAAAAUGCGAAAUUGCACCCCCCUAUAUAAGGUGGUGCACUUCGUUUCUAUAGGUCCUAGGAGGCUGAAAUUCGGUAUAUAUACUAUUUAGGGGGCCCGCGAUCGUUUGCACUUGGUAUGGUAGCUCUAGCGCCACCAGGGGCCGAGUUAUGAUAUUGCACCCCCAGUUGUUUUGCACCUAGAGAGCUGGAAUUUGCUGCGUAUACUAAUUGGUGGAUGCCCAGUCGAUUGCACUUGGUUUCGUCCCUCUAGCUCCAUCCGGCGCCGAGUUAUGGUACUGCACCCUUACUUGAGUUUCGCAGUGCUAGGGCUAGGGUUGAGUUUCGCAGGUCCAGCCCAGAUAGAUAGAUAGAUAGAUAGAUAGAUAGAUAGAUAGAUAGAUAGAGAUUAGUUUGAUGUUAUUUCUGUACAGAAUUUGAUGAAGUUUUGCGUUAAUGAAUGUUUAAAGUUUGUGGGUCAGGGCUGGGUUAGUGGGUUAAGUCUAGUGGUUAGUGAGGCUAGGGCUAGCAGUUUAUGGUUAGGGUUAGGGUUAGGGUUAGGAAUGAAUGAAAUCCAGAAGCUGAAACAUGGUUCAACCUCGGUAAAUGCACUGUCCUUCUUAUACUCCUGAUGGCAACCUGUUUACUGGAUACCACUCUUCGACUUCCAGGGGACCCAAAAAUAUUUUUCUGUUGAUGCAAAAAAUCCCAAAAUGGGGCUAGAGAGCUUAGGGCUCUUUCUCCUAGGUUUGCACAGCAACAGUGGCUGGUAGGUUUAGUGUGUGUGGUGCAGUUCACGAUUCCUCAAAGAAAUAAACACUGUGCAUGUCACUUCAUCGGUGUAGAUGAAGGAAAUAAAUUUUAUUUGACUCUCUUGUCUUUUAAUUACACUCUAUUUGAUUCUCUUUUCGUAUGUGUGGCUCUCUACAUCACCCAGUCUCAUGAUGGAGGCCCAAAGGGUUAGAGUUAGGAAUGAAUGAAAUCCAGAAGCUAGGGUUAGGGUUAGGGUUAGAGUAGGGUUAGGGUUAGGGUUAGAGUUAGGUUAUAUAGAUAAAUGCGAAGAGUGGUCACUUAUGAAGUGGUCGACCCCCCCAUAUCUCAUGACCCGUACAUGCUAGAGUGCUCAAACUUGGUUUAUUAUGGGUUAGGGUUAGGUUAGGGUUAGGGUUAGGGUUAGGUAUAUAGGGUAAAAUGCGAAAUUGCACCCCCCUAUAUAAGGUGGUGCACUUCGUUUCUAUAGGUCCUAGGAGGCUGAAAUUCGGUAUAUAUACUAUUUAGGGGGCGCCCGAUCGUUUGCACUUGGUUUGGUAGCUCUAGCGCCACCAGGGGCCGAGUUACGGUAUUGCACCCCCAGUUGUUUUGCACCUAGAGAGCUGAAAUUUGCUGAGUAUACUAAUUGGAGGAUGCCCAGUCGAUUGCACUUGGUUUCGUCCUUCUAGCUCUGUUCGAGUUAUGGUACUGCACCCUUACUUGAGUUUCACAGUGCUAGGGUUAUGGUUGAGUUUCGCAGUUCCAGGGUUAGGGUUAGGUUAGGUUAGGUUAGGUAUAUAGAUAAAAACGAGUUUCACCCUCAUUAAUUCCACCCUCAUUAGCAUAUGCGAUCUGAUUGGCCAAAGCUUACCUGGCCAUAUCUUUUGAAGCGGAGGUCCGAUGUGCACAUAACUGGUAUCGUUGGAUUCAGGAAGCUGUCGUCUUUCAGGUAGCGCGGAUGUAUGGAAGAAAGGAUGUUGCUUUCAAAUCCAAUGUGACCUUACAACAGUCUAAAGUGUGACAAAAAGGAAGUCAGUCAUCGGCAAAGGCAAAAAUACAUCCAAAUGAAAUAACCUGUGAAAUCAAUAGUCUUUUAGGAAGAAGGUAUUAGUUUUUACAAGUGUGUAUGAUUUUAACAUAGGGUAGGUUCAUAGGUGAUGUGACACCUACAUCUUGUGGUCACACAAAGGUACUGCACUUUCAAGAAUCCUUUUUCAAAUGUAGUAUUUUUGUAGUAUCUAAAAAAACAGAAUAUAAAAUAGAUGUUCAGGCAAG
rnacentral:lncRNA from 1 species